CACGUAGGGGGCGAGCGUUGUCCGGAUUUAUUGGGCGUAAAGGGUGCGUAGGCGGCGCGGUAAGUCGGGUGUGAAAUCUCGGAGCUUAACUCCGAAACUGCAUUCGAUACUGCCGUGCUUGAGGACUGGAGAGGAGACUGGAAUUUACGGUGUAGCGGUGAAAUGCGUAGAUAUCGUAAGGAAGACCAGUGGCGAAGGCGGGUCUCUGGACAGUUCCUGACGCUGAGGCACGAAGGUCAGGGGAGCAAACGGG
rnacentral:rRNA from 1 species